rnacentral:rRNA from 1 species
AGCAGCCGCGGUAAUUCCAGCUCCAAUAGCGUAUAUUAAAGUUGUUGCAGUUAAAAAGCUCGUAGUUGAAUUUCGGGGUCAGUAGAUUGGUCGUGCCACUGGUACGUACUGGUCUCACUGAUUCCUCCUUCCUGAUGAACCGUAAUGCCAUUAAUUUGGUGUUGCGGGGAAACCGGACUGUUACUUUGAAAAAUUGAGUGUUUAAAGCAGGCUAACGCUUGAAUACAUUAGCAUGGAAUAAUGAAAUAGGACGUUCGAUCCUAUUUUGUUGGUUUCUAGGAUUGACGUAAUGAUUAAUAGGAUAGUUGGGGCAUUAGUAUUCAAUUGUCAGAGGU